rnacentral:pre_miRNA from 1 species
UUUUAUGGAGGAGCAAAGCAAGUUGUUUCUUGAGAUGGAAUCUACUCUGGUGAAGUUGCUGUGAA